UACGGAGGGGGCUAGCGUUGUUCGGAAUUACUGGGCGUAAAGCGCACGUAGGCGGAUUUGUAAGUCAGGGGUGAAAUCCCGGGGCUCAACCUCGGAACUGCCUUUGAUACUGCAAAUCUCGAGUCCGGAAGAGGUGAGUGGAAUUCCUAGUGUAGAGGUGAAAUUCGUAGAUAUUAGGAAGAACACCGGUGGCGAAGGCGGCCAACUGGACUGGUAUUGACGCUGAGGCGCGAAAGCGUGGGGAGCAAACAGG
rnacentral:rRNA from 1 species